UUGGGGUGCUGAUCCCCUGGGGAAGAUGGUGCCCGUGGACGAGUUCCUGCCCCUCAUGUUCGACAGACACCCCAGCCCCGAGUACUCCCGCUACUUUUCCCGGCGGGAUCUGGAGGCGUUUUCGGCGGAGCCGCUGCUGCUGUUCCCCACUCACUACACGGGGGAGCCCGGCUACGUCAGCGACACCGAGACGGCCCCGGCGCCGCCGCGCGACGAGCUCUGACCCCAAUAAAACUCACACUUGGAUUUUUAAA